GCUUAGUUGGCUCAGUUGGAAGAGCAUGGGACUCUUGAUCUCAGGAUCAUGGGUUCGAGCCUCAUGUUGAGUG
rnacentral:tRNA from 1 species